AAGGCUGUGGGGACAGAGGGAAGGGACAGGGGAAGGGGCACACCCUGGCAGGCCUGGCGAUCACAGCAGCCCCUGGUGGGAGGCACCUCGUCCCCUGCUGUGAACCCCAGGCGGUACCUGCAGCCCCGCUUCCUUCCUUAUGCCCCGGGAGAGGCGGCUCUCGGAAGCCUCCCACCCACAGUUCCCGUUCCCAUCCCUGGCUCCCGGGGAAGGCAAACAGGAUUCCUGCCACCAGGCCGCGGUUCCCGGAGCAGGCCGGCGGGUGGCAGGAAGACACCAGGCUGCAGGGGGCUGGAGAAGCAACACCCCUCUCCCUCCCCGCCAGAGAACUGGAGCGCGGGGACCUCGGUUGCGGAUGCUAGCUGCGAGCCGGGUUGCUAGGCGACAUCGAGAGAGGAAGAGGAGAAAGUCUUCAUGGGGUGCUAGAGCAUCUUAAAUGUCCCUCUCAUGCAGGGACAUUUCCCUGCUGAACGAAGAGAAGGCAGACCUCGGCGAGGGACCCGUGGUCAGCAGCAGCUUCUGAAAACAGGAAGAACCAGGCUCGGUCCAGUGGCACCCAGCU
rnacentral:lncRNA from 1 species